CCUGCGGGGGGCAGCAGUGAGGAAUAUUGGUCAAUGGGCGAGAGCCUGAACCAGCCAAGUCGCGUGAAGGAUGACGGCCCUACGGGUUGUAAACUUCUUUUGUCAGGGAGCAAUUGAGUCCACGUGUGGGCUUAGCGAGAGUACCUGAAGAAAAAGCAUCGGCUAACUCCGUGCCAGCAGCCGCGGUAAUACGGAGGUGGCAAGCGUUGUCCGGAUUUACUGGGUGUAAAGGGCGUGUAGCCGGGUUGACAAGUCAGAUGUGAAAUCCUGCGGCUUAACCGCAGAACUGCAUUUGAAACUGUUGAUCUUGAGUACUGGAGAGGCAGACGGAAUUCCUAGUGUAGCGGUGAAAUGCGUAGAUAUUAGGAGGAACACCAGUGGCGAAGGCGGUCUGCUGGACAGCAACUGACGGUGAGGCGCGAAAGCGUGGGGAGCAAACAGGAUUAGAUACCCUUGUAGUC
rnacentral:rRNA from 1 species